CUACGAGUGGCAGCAGAUACGAAUCCUCUACAAUGCACGCAAGUGUGAUAGGGGAAUCCCUCGUGCUGGCGUUAUGCGUCAGCUUUUUUAGAGCGUGAAUAACUUUAAGAAUAAGGGGUGGGCAAGACCGGUGCCAGCCGCCGCGGUAAUCCCGGCGCCCCAAGUGGUGAUCAUUUUUACUGGGUCUAAAGCGUCCGUAGCUGGUCUGUUAGGUUCUUAGUUAAAUUCGGCAGCUUAACUGUCGAUCCGCUAGGAAUACUGGCAGACUUGAGACCGGGAGGAGUUAGAGGAAUGUCAUGGGGAGUGGUAAAAUGCUGUAAUCCAUGAUGGACCAUCAGUAGCGAAGGCGUCUAACUAGAACGGGUCUGACAGUCAGGGACGAAAGCUGGGGGAGCAAAACGGAUUAGAUACCCCAGUAGUC
rnacentral:rRNA from 1 species